rnacentral:rRNA from 1 species
GAAUCGCUAGUAAUCGCGGAUCAGCAUGCCGCGGUGAAUACGUUCCCGGGUCUUGUACACACCGCCCGUCAAACAAUGGGAGUGGUGUUUACCAGAAGUCGUUAGCCUAACCGCAAGGAGGGCGGCGACCACGGUGAGCACCGUGACUAAUGUUAAGUCGUAACAAGGUAAC